rnacentral:rRNA from 1 species
GGAGGGUGCAAGCGUUAUCCGGAAUAAUUGGGCGUAAAGCGUGUGCAGGCUGUUUAAAAAGUUGGGUAUGAAAUCUUGCGGCUCAACCGUAAAAUUGUAUUCAAAACUAUUAAACUAGAGGACUGUAGAGGUAGAUGGUAUUCUAGGUGUAGGGGUAAAAUCCGUUGAUAUCUAGAGGAACACCAAAAGCGAAGGCAAUCUACUGGACAGUUUCUGACGCUCAGACACGAAAGCGUGGGUAGCGAACGGGAUUAGAUACCCCGGUAGUCCACGCCCUAAACUAUGGACACUAGGUGUUGGUCUGCUCGACCCGGAUCAGUGCCGAAGCUAACGCAUUAAGUGUCCCGCCUGGGGACUACGGUCGCAAGACUA